CCUUGGCUCAGUUGGUAGAGCGUCGCCUUGGUAAGGCGGAGGUCGGCGGUUCAAAUCCGCUA
rnacentral:tRNA from 8 species